rnacentral:rRNA from 1 species
AAGGUUUCCGUAGGUGAACCUGCGGAAGGAUCAUUACCGAUUUUAGCGUGCCUGGUCAUUGACCAUGGUCUCGCGAAAUUUUGUAUUUAAAACCCACACUUGAAUAAUUUUUUUAAAUCAUAUUUUAUGAUAAAAAUAAAGAUCACUUUCAACAACGGAUCUCUUGGCUCUCGCAUCGAUGAAGAACGUAGCGAAGUGCGAUAAGUAAUGUGAAUUGCAGAAUUCCGUGAGUCAUCGAAUCUUUGAACGCAAAUUGCACUCUCUGGUAUUCCGGGGAGUAUGCCUGUUUGAGGGUCAGUUUAAAUAAAAAUCGAUGUGUCGCMUUUGUGACGCUUCGGAAUUGGGYCACCUUGAUCUCUGGGUUAAGAGGCCUAAAAUUGAUACCUUUCCGAGCAUYUUGGACGUACGUAACCUUUCAAGUGCCGGAUCUUUUUACUAGGUAUGACCAUGCUGUGCGUGGCCAUCGUACCUAUAACGUGUACUCAUAUUUGGA